rnacentral:lncRNA from 1 species
AAUGCUCGACCAACAGGUUCAAAGGAGGCAACUGCAGGUUAGUUUAAUAAACAGAUAGAUAUAUAUAUCUUGAUUAUGCAACGAAUAAAACCAUGCAUUGCCUCACAAACGUAAUAAUGCAAUGCGAUAUGCAAAUCAUGCAAUAAUGCAACCAACUAGUAGUUCACUCGAUACUACUUUCCAUUCUGCUAACCAUAGCUCAUCCGUUUGAUAUCUAAGGUUUCCUCUAUCUUAGAUUCUUGUCAAUCACCGUUUUAAUCAUAAAGUUUCAUCUACCUUUACAAGGCUAACCACACGACUUGGUCUUGAGUCAAUCGUCUGCGGAGUACCGCACUAGAACCAGGCUUGAGGCGAUGGACGUCUCACAUACACCUCA